ACUGCAGGGAGGAGGGGAGGGAAACAGGAGCAAUUCUAGGCGCGAUGGGAGUUGUAGUCCUGGCGGUGAUCACGUGGUCAGAACGACAGUGUGUGAUUGGUCGCGAGGGGUCACCGGGCGUUUCGCCGGUGAUGGAGGCCGGCCGCCAUUUUGUGGCUGGGGUGCUUCCCGUGCGGGAAGAGGAGUGGCGGCGGCCCCAGGGGGAGCUGAGCAGUCAUGCACCGUGUGGGUGCCGAUGACUCAAGGAAGACGAGUGCCUGGGAGACUAAACUUGUGCCACGAGGCAGGAGUCCCACUGACCAGUGUCUUCACGAUGGUGUCUGAAAUAGUGCUUCUGCUGUGACCAGCCUGGCAGGCAGGUAGAGCUCUGGCAUUGUUAUGCAAAGAUCAGAUAACAGAGUGCAGAGGAGGCAUGAAAGCAAGUGGUUAUUGUACAGGGACUGCAGCAUAGGCGUAACCUGCAGGUGGGAUAUCUAGGGAAUGAUGUGGCAGCUGAAGUGUCAUUUGCUUAAACUUCUGUUCACCUCUGAAUUUAGACCAAUGUUAUUAUGUUAUUGCUUAAUGUUUUGGGGAAUAAGGGAAAAGAGAGCUGCAAUUAAUUUGAGUGGGACUUAUGAAAACCUGAGCUGAUUGCAGGCUCAUUGUCCCUUGAUAUUUAAACUGAUUAGCUGGUUAGUAUUUCUCUGAGAACACUCAGUUUCAAAGAAAACAAAACAAAACAAUAACGACAACAAAACCACAAACACCUGGUUUCAAAAAAAAAAAGAAAUCAACAAAAAAUUGCAGUUAAAAUAAAUGGAAAUGAAGGUGGAAAAAGGAAGAUUUUUAUAUUCUUUAUGAAAAAAAAUGCCAAACUGAAUCUGCCUGCAAUUUAUUAGACCAAUUUAGUUACAUCUCUUGUUACUAUUGUUUUAAAUACAUUCAGCAUGCACUUUCUGGUUUGAUGUGUUCAGAAACUUGUUGUUAGUCAUAAGCAAUAGCUCUCUGUAUUAUUAAAUUUCUCUCCUUAAUAGCAGUAGAUUGUUCAUUGGUUAAGCAAGUAUUACUCUCAUUUUUCUUGUUGUCAGACUAUAAAUUCACUUGUGACAGUCCAUACACAACAGCUUUUAACUGUGUGUUUUACAAGGAUGCUGCCAAUGGAAUUACUUCAGAAUUACAUUGAUAAAAGAGUAGUAGCUGGUGUUUUUAAAAAGUAUUUUCGAGAUACCCUAAGCAGACAUGUCAGUGUUGACAGGAGGUGAAAUUAUGUGACUUCAAUUUUGACAUUGCUGAGGAUUUAAAAAGAAUUUAAUAUCUUAGUUCUCAGGGCUCAGAGCUGGAUCUUCCAUCAAAGCGUACUUCUAAAAUAUAUUCUCUUGAUCUGCAGCAUUUUUUUUGAGGAAGAUGGCUUGUCCAUCUAUUGACAGUCGUAAGGCGAAAUAGUGAGCUGCUCUGCUUUUCCUUGGGGCAAGUGGAGAUCCUCUGAUAACGUGUUGAAAUACUCAUAGAUUCCGUGGUAGUGAUGAUACUGAUUGGGUGGUUUGCUUAUUGUUAACCUCCGUACUGAGGGUUCUUUAGAGGACAAGGCUAAUGUGGCUCUAUUGCUUCACAGUGAUCUUAUUGUUACAUAUAUAGCUAUAAACCUAUAUAUACGUGUGUGUGUGUAUAUCUGCAAUGUAUAUAUAUAUACUAAUAUAUAUAUUAAAGAAAAGAGAAGCAGCAUUUACAGUUAUACUGCAGCAUUUAAUAUGAAGUCCCAGGAGUCUCCUUCUUGUUUUCCAGAAGCAGUAUUUCUCCCUUCUGUAAAUAUGGCACCUUAAACUACGUGCAUUUCUUAUCUUACUUUGUUUCAGUUACUAACAUCUCAGUUCAGUCAAGAUAUUUUAUUUACUGGAGAGCAAUUCGCUUUCUCCACUGACCUGUCUGUUUUUGAUCUCUGCUCUAAACUUUGGUUUUAAAGAAUGUUUUUGUAAUAUGUUGGCUAAAUUGAAUGUAUCAUCUAUACAUAAUCAUUAUCUUGAAAUAUCAACUGUUCAAAAUGCUGAAUGCAAAAUAGACUGAUGGUUUCUACUUUAUGCUGUGUGUCAGCAUCACUAGGUCACUUUACACGUUUGCUUAUGAGGUCAACAAAGAGCUAUUGUCUGCCAAAACACAGAUUUUUUUUUUUUUAUAUUUGUUUAAGAACUGGCUGUGUUCGGUCAGCAUUCAGGCAUGCUGAAGAGAUAGUGAGUUGAAUUUUAUUUGUGAAUUUGCUGUGUAAUUCAGGCAGUAAUGAUUCAUUAAAAAUCAGGUUAAAAAAAAAAAAAAAAGG